CUGACGUAGGUACCUGACGUCACCGCGCUACAGUCUGCAGCGAGGAGUACUUGGGGUUUUUCCCGGGGAUCAUGCGGAGAACAUCUGCGCAGUGUGUCGAUGCACCUUAUGAGAGAAAAAGACCAGCAAGCAAGGCAACUGCAAUGAAGCAUCAAGAAAGACAUGGACAUGCCAGCCACCCUGAGGCUGAUAAUUCAUGAGAAGACAUUUCUGUCAAAGUGGAUGGUGAGCAAAGAUGGUGGCCACGUUUUGGAGCAGCACCUGGGUUUUGCAGAUGGCUAUGUAUUCUUUGGCUACUUAUCUUUAUGUUUCUGUUGCCUAAAGAUUCUUUGUGAGGAUAAAUCACAACAAAAUGCACUGCAAAACGUCCUAAGACAGGAGAAAUGGUAAAGAUGCACUGUUCCAGAGUUGGAAGACUGU